rnacentral:tmRNA from 1 species
GGGGCUGAUUCUGGAUUCGACGGGAUUUGCGAAACCCAAGGUGCAUGCCGAGGGGCGGUUGGCCUCGUAAAAAGCCGCAAAAAAAUAGUCGCAAACGACGAAACCUACGCUUUAGCAGCUUAAUAACCUGCUUAGAGCCCUCUCUCCCUAGCCUCCGCUCUUAGGACGGGGAUCAAGAGAGGUCAAACCCAAAAGAGAUCGCGUGGAUGCCCUGCCUGGGGUUGAAGCGUUAAAACGAAUCAGGCCAGUCUGGUAGUGGCGUGUCCGUCCGCAGGUGCCAGGCGAAUGUAAAGACUGACUAAGCAUGUAGUACCGAGGAUGUAGGAAUUUCGGACGCGGGUUCAACUCCCGCCAGCUCCACCA